rnacentral:rRNA from 1 species
UAAACCUCUUUCAUCUAUGACGAAGCGCCUUUAGGGGUGGUGACGGUAGUAGGAGAAGAAGCACCGGCCAACUACGUGCCAGCAGCCGAGGUAAUACGUAGGGUGCGAGCGUUGUCCGGAAUUAUUGGGCGUAAAGGGCUCGUAGGCGGUUUGUCGCGUCGGGAGUGAAAACCAUGGGCUUAACUCAUGGCUUGCUUUCGAUACGGGCAGACUAGAGGUAUGCAGGGGAGAACGGAAUUCCUGGUGUAGCGGUGAAAUGCGCAGAUAUCAGGAGGAACACCGGUGGCGAAGGCGGUUCUCUGGGCAUUACCUGACGCUGAGGAGCGAAAGUGUGGGGAGCGAACAGGAUUAGAUACCCUGGUAGUCCACACCGUAAACGUUGGGCGCUAGGUGUGGGGUCCAUUCCACGGAUUCCGUGCCGCAGCUAACGCAUUAAGCGCCCCGCCUGGGGGA